CCAAAUUCAAGUUUGAAUCGAUAUCUAAAGGAACCGAAAGUGCUCAGGCGUCAAGCCCGUUAAGGUUUGUCGGUUACAAUUCCACUCGGCAUACCGAGGCAAAUUUAAAGCGUCGAGCCAGAAGAAGUUUUUUACCCCUCCUGUGGAGGGCUGGAAGGUGCAAUGAAUUCAUCAAGGUCAAUUCCGUCGGCGAUCCGAGUGGCAGCUGCAAGGAAAGUUUCCAUAAAGGACCUGAAGUCGUGCUUCUUGGUAUUGGCCACCCGAAGGGCCGCCAGCUUCUCUUCUCGCGCAUCUUUGCAGUGGACUCGGGC
rnacentral:rRNA from 1 species